AUUGAACGCUGGCGGCAUGCUUUACACAUGCAAGUCGAACGGUAACAGGCCGCAAGGUGCUGACGAGUGGCGAACGGGUGAGUAAUGCAUCGGAACGUGCCCAGUCGUGGGGGAUAACGCAGCGAAAGCUGCGCUAAUACCGCAUACGAUCUAUGGAUGAAAGCGGGGGACCGUAAGGCCUCGCGCGAUUGGAGCGGCCGAUGUCAGAUUAGGUAGUUGGUGGGGUAAAGGCUCACCAAGCCAACGAUCUGUAGCUGGUCUGAGAGGACGACCAGCCACACUGGGACUGAGACACGGCCCAGACUCCUACGGGAGGCAGCAGUGGGGAAUUUUGGACAAUGGGCGCAAGCCUGAUCCAGCAAUGCCGCGUGCAGGAAGAAGGCCUUCGGGUUGUAAACUGCUUUUGUACGGAACGAAACGGCUCUGGUUAAUACCUGGGGAUAAUGACAGUACCGGGAGAAUAAGCCCCGGCUAACUCCGUGCCAGCAGCCGCGGUAA
rnacentral:rRNA from 1 species